rnacentral:rRNA from 1 species
GACAGAGGCCCCAAGCGUUAGGCGGAAUCACUGGGCUUAAAGCGUGUGUAGGCGGAUCGUUAAGUGUCUUGUGAAAUCCCACGGCUCAACCGUGGAACUGCUCGGUAUACUGCCUAUCUUGAGCCACUUAGGGGCUGUCGGAACAAACGGUGGAGCGGUGAAAUGCGUAGAUAUCGUUUGGAACGCCAAUGGUGAAGGCAAUCCCCUGGGCCUGUACUGACGCUCAUGCACGAAAGCGUGGGGAGCAAACAGG